rnacentral:misc_RNA from 1 species
GAAAUGCGAUAAGUAAUGUGAAUUGCAGAAUUCAGUGAAUCAUCGAAUCUUUGAACGCACCUUGCGCGCCUUGGUAUUCCUUGGAGCAUGCCUGUUUGAGUAUCAUGAAAUCUUCAAAGUAAAUCUUUUGUUAACUCAAUUGGUUUCUACUUUGGUAUUGGAGGUCUUUGCAGCUUCACACCUGCUCCUCUUUGUUCAUUAGCUGGAUCUCAGUGUUAUGCUUGGUUCCACUCGGCGUGAUAAGUUAUCUAUCGCUGAGGACACUGUAAAAGGUGGCCAAGGUAAAUUCAGAUGAACCGCUUCUAAUAGUCCAUUGACUUGGACAAUACUUUUAUGAUCUGAUCUCAAAUCAGGUAGGACCACCCGCUGAACUUAAGC